rnacentral:rRNA from 1 species
GACGUAGGGCGCGAGCGUUGUCCGGAUUUAUUGGGCGUAAAGGGUGCGUAGGCGGCGCGGUAAGUCGGGUGUGAAAUCUCGGAGCUUAACUCCGAAACUGCAUUCGAUACUGCCGUGCUUGAGGACUGGAGAGGAGACUGGAAUUUACGGUGUAGCGGUGAAAUGCGUAGAUAUCUGGAGGAAUACCGGUGGCGAAGGCGGCAUCCUGGACCGGCAUUGACGCUGAGGAGCGAAAGCGUGGGGAGCAAACGGGG